CGUUCCCGGGCCUUGUACACACCGCCCGUCACACCAUGGGAGUUGGUUUUACCCGAAGGCGUUUCGCUAACCGCAAGGAGGCAGACGACCACGGUAGGGUCAGCGACUGGGGUG
rnacentral:rRNA from 1 species